AGGUAAUUGCUAUAAAUUGUUAAAGAGUUCCCUCGACUAUCUUUCGUCUCCAUCAUCAGACUGAAAUGGUACUUAUAACUCAUAUAUAUGCAAAGUUCUCAUCAAUAGAAACGAAUUAAGUUCAAACAGCAGGUAAUUGCUAUAAAUUGUUGAAGAGUUCCUUCGACUAUCUUUCUUCUCCAUCAUCAGAUCGACUCCAGACCUUUAUUAAAUAGUAGUGCUUUAUAGUACCUAAUGAAAACAUGAUUAAAUUUACUAGUCACCCUUACGAUUUUUGAAAGUUUCCCUCGAUUUCUCUGGGAUCCCAUCAUCAGAUCCUGGUUUCCUUAUCAUGGUACCAAACUAUGAAUAUCUCCUUUCCAACAAAAAAAGAAUUAUCAAAAUCGGUUCAUAAACGAAGAAGUUAUCUCCGAACAUACAUAAAAAAAAAAAAAAAAAAAAAAAAUAUAUACGGUCGAAUUGAGUAACCUCCUCCUUUUUUUGAAGUCGGUUAAAAAUAGGCGUCUUUCUUUUUU
rnacentral:misc_RNA from 1 species